rnacentral:rRNA from 1 species
UACGUAGGGGGCUAGCGUUGUCCGGAAUUAUUGGGCGUAAAGAGCUCGUAGGCGGUUUGUCGCGUCGAAUGUGAAAACCCGGGGCUCAACCCCGGGCCUGCAUUCGAUACGGGCAGACUAGAGUUCGGUAGGGGAGUCUGGAAUUCCUGGUGUAGCGGUGAAGUGCGCAGAUAUCAGGAGGAACACCGGUGGCGAAGGCGGGACUCUGGGCCGAUACUGACGCUGAGGAGCGAAAGCGUGGGGAGCAAACAGG